rnacentral:rRNA from 1 species
CCAUGCCGCGUGUGUGAAGAAGGCCUUUUGGUUGUAAAGCACUUUAAGCGAGGAGGAGGCUACUUAGAUUAAUACUCUAGGAUAGUGGACGUUACUCGCAGAAUAAGCACCGGCUAACUCUGUGCCAGCAGCCGCGGUAAUACAGAGGGUGCGAGCGUUAAUCGGAUUUACUGGGCGUAAAGCGUGCGUAGGCGGCUUUUUAAGUCGGAUGUGAAAUCCCUGAGCUUAACUUAGGAAUUGCAUUCGAUACUGGGAAGCUAGAGUAUGGGAGAGGAUGGUAGAAUUCCAGGUGUAGCGGUGAAAUGCGUAGAGAUCUGGAGGAAUACCGAUGGCGAAGGCAGCCAUCUGGCCUAAUACUGACGCUGAGGUACGAAAGCAUGGGGAGCAAACAGGAUUAGAUACCCUGGUAGUCCAUGCCGUAAACGAUGUCUACUAGCCGUUGGGGCCUUUGAGGCUUUAGUGGCGCAGCUAACGCGAUAAGUAGACCGCCUGGGGAGUACGGUCGCAAGACUAAAACUCAAAUGAAUUGACGGGGGCCCGCACAAGCGGUGGAGCAUGUGGUUUAAUUCGAUGCAACGCGAAGAACCUUACCUGGUCUUGACAUAGUAAGAACUUUCCAGAGAUGGAUUGGUGCCUUCGGGAACUUACAUACAGGUGCUGCAUGGCUGUCGUCAGCUCGUGUCGUGAGAUGUUGGGUUAAGUCCCGCAACGAGCGCAACCCUUUUCCUUAUUUGCCAGCGGGUUAAGCCGGGAACUUUAAGGAUACUGCCAGUGACAAACUGGAGGAAGGCGGGGACGACGUCAAGUCAUCAUGGCCCUUACGACCAGGGCUACACACGUGCUACAAUGGUCGGUACAAAGGGUUGCUACCUAGCGAUAGGAUGCUAAUCUCAAAAAGCCGAUCGUAGUCCGGAUUGGAGUCUGCAACUCGACUCCAUGAAGUCGGAAUCGCUAGUAAUCGCGGAUCAGAAUGCCGCGG